ACCGCCCUUGAAGCACCUGGUUCUUCUCCCCUGAUUCCUCACUGACACCUCCUCGCUCAUUCCACCGAUCUCUCCUCGCCAGUAAUUGACGACAGCGGUAAAGUCGAGAUAUGCGGCUUCAACCGUCAUAAUGCUGUUUCAAUUCAUCCUCCAUAAAAUCUACACUUCUCGAUCUGACUUUGAAACGAAGAAGCCGGUGAGCUGAAUAAGUGCGCGUCAGCGUCACCAGUUUGACAACGGGGCUUUCAAUUAGGCAAGGAUGUCAAGCUACAAUCACUGUAUGUCACCGUACACUGCUGGUCAAUGGCCCUCCUGAUUUUAGUUGUUACCACACGCGGUUAGGGGUAAGAUCUUUGUCAUUGUAGACAUUUAUCAAACUUUACACUCUGAGUAGCAGAGGUGUGG
rnacentral:sRNA from 1 species